rnacentral:rRNA from 1 species
AGUGAACGCUGGCGGCAGGCCUAACACAUGCAAGUCGAACGGCAGCACAAGAGAGCUUGCUCUCUGGGUGGCGGGUGGCGGACGGGUGAGGAAUGCAUCGGAAUCUGCCCAUUUGUGGGGGAUAACCUCGGGAAACCGGGACUAAUACCGCAUACGACCUACGGGUGAAAGCAGGGGAUCUUCGGACCUUGCGCAGAUGGAUGAGCCGAUGCCGGAUUAGCUAGUUGGAGGGGUAAAGGCCCACCAAGGCGACGAUCCGUAGCUGGUCUGAGAGGAUGAUCAGCCACACUGGGACUGAGACACGGCCCAGACUCCUACGGGAGGCAGCAGUGGGGAAUAUUGGACAAAGGGCGCAAGCCUGAUCCAGCCAUGCCGCGUGUGUGAAGAAGGCCUUCGGGUUGUAAAGCACUUUUGUUGGGAAAGAAAAGCAGCCGGUUAAUACCCGGUUGUCAUGACGGUACCCAAAGAAUAAGCACCGGCUAACUUCGUG